CUCGCCCCAGUUUGGGAUUCAGCGACGAGUCGUCUUCUCGUCUGCGCGCCGCAACACAGCACGCGCGCCACAUCCCCUCGCGUCUCCCCCGCACGGCGCCGCUUCCCCUCGUGCCUCCACAGCACGCGUGCCGCCAGCUUCCCCUCGCGACCCCCACCGCACAGACGCCACCCUCCCCCGCCGGACUUCUCCCGCCGCUUGUCUCGUUGGGCUCUCUGGCGUGGACCAUUCUCGCGUCGCAGCCAUACCUCCUCGGCUUCUUGCAUGGCCUGCCUUGGGGCCCGAUGUCAUUUCCUCCCUCGGCUACCACACGACCCGGUGACAUCCUCCACCUGUCUUUGCUCGCACCCGAGGUAUUGCCCUCUUCUCUGUGCCCCUAUUACGGUUGCCUCAAUCCCACCCCCAUGUUGCUAACACACAUAACCCUAAUCCCCAAAUCUGAUGUUGGAGGUGUAUGUGGUCGCAGAUCGGCUAUGGGAGGAGCCAAUGAUGGAGACCUAGGUGGAGGAGGCGGCAAAUCUGCAGCUGGAGGAGCCUGCAGCUGGAGGACCCCGUGAUGGAGGCGUAGGUAGAGGAGGCCACGACAAGGAGUGCCUCUUUCCACCUGGAAGGUAAAUCUUGUUUCUUUCUCCAUGUGUUAUGCUUAAUUCGCUUAUUAAUUUGUAUUCAUUCCCUUAUUUGAUGGAAUGGUUGAACCAAGAAACUGAAAAGCUAAGCUAGUUAUCCUUUUUUUCAUCUUUUGUUGCAUUCAAGUAAUGAAAAUGUUAUAAUCUGUGUGCCUACCAUGUGAUUUAUGGAAAUGCUCUUGGGUGUCCAUAUUGGUCUAGCAUUUUCUUUUGCACAAGUAGUUGAUGCCAGUUUUUGGAAGAGAAAUCAACCACAGAUUUUGUAAAAUUAUUAGAUGCAAGACCUAUGGAUAUCUUAUUUGUGUGGCCGUUGAUGCAAGACCUAGGACAUAUUAUUAUGUAGCUGUGGAUGCAAAAACUAUGAGCAUCUUAAUUGUGGCUAUUGAUGCUAGCUGUGGGCUUCUAAUAUGUAUGUCAUGUGGAUGAUGACAAAUUGAUGCAAUAUAUUUGUGUUCUAGCUGAAUAGUAUAGAAUUGUGAAUAAGAUUCUUUUCUGGUCUGGUGAAUGCAAUUGUAAAAAUAUAUUUUCUGUCAGUUUGUUUGAAUUAUCUUGUCGGUGGAGAGUCGACAUGGAAAAUUUUUAUUUUCUGUCCGGCUAAGUUCGAUGGAAAAAUAAGUGUUUUCCUGUCGGUGUAAGUUUCUUUUUUUUGUCGUUCUCCAACCGAUAGAGAAUGUAUUUCCUUGUCGGUAUUUUUUUCCUAUUGUCAUCUUCCGACAAAAAAAUUGAUUCUAAACCUGUCGACAAUGAAUUUUUCUGUCGGUGGCCCACCGACAAGGCAAAUAACAUACCGACAGGAAAAUGGUUUAUCCAACAGAAAAAAAAACUUAUUCCCUGUCGCGUUAGGCCUGUCGAAAUUUUUCUGUCGGGUUCCCAAUAUUUUUCCUGUCGUUAAAUUGAAUUGUCCUGUUGGUGUGGGAACGGACAGGAAAUUUUCAGUUUUCAGUAGUUAUAUGAAAUCUGCUAUGUCAUCAGCUCACAUAGAUUUAUGGGGACGUAGGAUUACCCAGAUGCAAUUUUACCAAAUCUUCUAUUUCAGAUGCACCUACCCUGUUUUUCAAUACUAUACCAUUUCUGAAAAACAAGUCUACGCAUGCCAUGAAGGCACAAUAAUUUGUGAAGAUACACGCUAGAUUGCACUAAUCAAUGCAAUAAUGUAUUGAUGUCAGUAGAGAAGUUUUACAGUAGAAAUACACGAAUGGUGGUGCCUUCUGGAUGAUGCUGCUCGAAGAAGCUGCUUACUACCGGCCGUACGAUUCCUACUAACUCUUCGCGAUUUGGAUUUCUACAAUAUGGAUAUCGUCCAUCGCACAGAUUGAUGUAAACUUUUUUCAGAUGUGGCAGGUGCUCGAUGCCAUGAAGUCCGACGACGCCACAUGUCUGGACUUGUUGCACAUCCAAUCUAAAGCUGAGGGUCUCAACCUUGGGCAUUGCUUCGGCCUGGAAAUGGAAAAGUUAACAAGAGCCCUGAACACCGUGCUGCCGCUAAAGAUAAUACCUUGGACAGGGACACGAUCUGCCCACACCCGAAGACGGGCGAGAACAGGUAACCCUGCAAGAACAGCAAUAGCAUCGUUGCACAGCCAGCCAAGGUUAAUAUCCAUGGUGACGAGUGUGCUGAGAUGACGAACCCACGGAGGUAACCGUGGGAGCCGUAUCUGCAGGUUUAGUUGCUCGAGAACACAGCCAGCAGAGAAGCUUAAAGGCCUACAGGCAGCAUAGUAAACUGUCAGGUUGUGCAAUGUUAAACCAUUUAAACGCUUCAGAUUGCAACUAACUAGCUUCUCGAUGGAGUAAAACAGAGCUUUCAAAUGUGCUUCCUUAUUGGCAAAACUGUAAUCAGUAAUAUAUAAGUCCAGCUCAAUCAGAUUUAGUAAUUCCCCAAGAGCCCUUACAUUAUCCAAUGACUGCUUGCUUGGAUCGAAGGAAUGUAUAGUACGCAGUGAUUUCAUAUUGCUGAUUCCAUCAGGAUAAAUUGUGCCCACAGGAAGCUUCAGAUACGACAAAGAAGGCAAACGAAUAAUAUCCCAUGGAAGAUGGGACAAUUUCCCAUGUAUCAUCAAUGAUUCAAGACGAUGCAACCCGCACAUUUGACUAGGUAGUUGAAUAAUGCUUGAUCCAGGUUUACUUUCAACAUAUAAAUACCUCAGCUGAAACAUUUUCCCAAUUGGAGUGAGAUCCAAAAUGUCAGCAUUGCAUACAAAUAGAACUCGGAUAAACUUCAGCUCCAACAGUUGAAGACUUUGGAGAGACAACCCAAAAGUAAAUAGCGAUCGUACAUGUGGUAGAUUCGCUCCAGGUGCUCUUUUAUCAAGUACUGACUCAUCAAUAAGCUGCAGGGAGAGACGGCGAGUAUUGUACGGCUGCCUAGUGGUAAUUGUUUGUAGGUUUUGUACUACAGCCAAAAAAUUCUCUUCUGCAGCCUUGGACACAAUUAGGUCUAGAAUCAUAUCAUGCACUUUAUAACAUAUAGUGCUCUUCAUCCAACCAUUAAGUUUUUCAAACUGGAUGAUCAUGCUCCUAUUCACAAGUUCAUUGAAAUAGCUCUCUACAGUUGACAAAAUGCAUCUCCCCCAUCUAAUUCAUUGACAAAACCUUCAGCUACACAUUGCCUAACUAAAUGGUCCUUUUCAAUUUGGUGAUCUUCUGGAUACAUACCAAUAUAUAACAAGCAUGUCUUGAUAUGAUGAGGAAGAUGAGUGUAACUAAGGUUCAGUAUCUGUCUCAUCCCCUCCAAAGUUGGAUUUGACCUCAGAUCAGAGCUUAGAGAUUUAAGGACGUAGUUCCACUGGUCCAAUGAUGAUGUAUUUGAUUGACUAGCUAAAAGGCUAGCUAUACUUAUGAUUGCUAGAGGCAAACCACCACAUUUCUGCAGAAUUUUCUCAGAUGGUUCUUCAAAUGGCUGAGAACAUGCAUUUCCCAACCCAAAAACUCUACUAUAAAACAAUUGCUUGGAAUCAUUGUCAUUGAGAGGUCUCAUCCUGUAAACAAAUUCCCGAUGAAAAUUGCAACAUGCCACAGCCACACUUUCAUUUCGUGUAGUUAUCAACACUUUGCUACCAGAGUGGCUCUCGGGGAAAGCACAUUUCACAAUUUCCCAUGAAGAUGCAUCCCAUAAAUCAUCAACUACUACCAAAUACCUGCAAAAUAUGUAUGUUCCAAUACAUCUAUUAAUAUGGCACACUAACUAAAAAUCUUGUUUUGAAUAACGUCAGUUGAACUCUAACCCUAGCUCCAAAGUAAGUUCAUGUAACAUGUCACUUUUUAUUUUUCAAAAACGCACCACAGAUUGUUGGACGAACAUUUGAAUUAGCUUGACAAAAUUCUAAGAUUUAAGUUUUAAUGAUUCCAACAUUAUUACCUGGAUGAAAUGUACUGGAGAUUGUCACAAUAUAUAGAUGAACCUUAAAACCUACGCACAUGCUGUUUUGCAGAUGGUCAAAGGUACUACGGGUAUUGCAUUAACUGUCUCU
rnacentral:lncRNA from 1 species